rnacentral:rRNA from 1 species
UACGUAGGCAGCAAGCGUUGUUCGGAAUUACUGGGCGUAAAGAGUGCGUAGGCUGUUUGGCAAGUUUGGUGUGAAAUCUCCCGGCUUAACUGGGAGGGUGCGCCGAAAACUGCCGGACUAGAGUGUGGGAGAGGGAAGUGGAAUUCCUGGUGUAGCGGUGAAAUGCGUAGAUAUCAGGAGGAACACCUGCGGUGUAGACGGCUUCCUGGACCACUACUGACGCUGAGGCACGAAAGCGUGGGGAG